GUAGGUGGCAAGCGUUGUCCGGGAAUUAUUGGGCGUAAAGCGCGCGCAGGCGGUUCUUUAAGUCUGAUGUGAAAGCCCACGGCUCAACCGUGGAGGGUCAUUGGAAACUGGAGAACUUGAGUACAGAAGAGGAAAGCGGAAUUCCACGUGUAGCGGUGAAAUGCGUAGAGAUGUGGAGGAACACCAGUGGCGAAGGCGGCUUUCUGGUCUGUUAACUGACGCUGAGGCGCGAAAGCGUGGGGAGCAAACAGGAUUAGAUACCCUGGUAGUCCACGCCGUAAACGAUGAGUGCUAAGUGUUAGGGGGUUUCCGCCCCUUAGUGCUGCAGCUAACGCAUUAAGCACUCCGCCUGGGGAGUACGGCCGCAAAGGCUG
rnacentral:rRNA from 1 species